UUAAUUUAUUUUAUGUAGAAAUGUAUAAGUUGAACUUAUAACACGGCAUCCAUCUUUUCAAUAAUUCAGCCCUCAAACUUCUAAAGCUCCAAGUUCGCCUAAAAAAGAAUGUAGUAAACAAAACAAUUUUGUAUAAUUACGAGCAAUUAUUGAAAGAGUGUAAUUGAUUCUCAUUACCGUACCAUAUUGGAAAAUCAAUUUGCCUGUACUAUCCUUCUUUCAUCAAAAUGGUCGGCCGAAGGGAUCUCCUUGAUAUUGAGAGGGUCUUGAUAGUCAGCGGACACAUUCAGACCUUUAAAAGGUGUCGCGUUUUUUGGAAGCUCGUUCAACAGCUGAGAGCAAUUUACAUACCCCUUCUAGAGCCGUUGGCACUUUACGCUGUAUAUCUUGGAGGAAUAGAAGGUCUUUACAAAUACGCUUUUUUCUCCAUUGCCGGCAUCUUAAUGUCUCAGCAUGCUUUGUAUUUUUUAACUAGGGAGAAAGAAGUGCUCGACGUUAUAAAAGAUUUCAAAGAUCUUUUUGCUAGACGGAACAAAACCUGGCACUUAGAGAUAUUCAAUAAAGAGUCAAAGCCUUUAUGGCGUGUUGUUAACUUAUAUCUAAUCACAUGCGUCAUAUUUAUUUUCUUCCAUAGCUUCAUGCCAUUUCUUUUCGACUUUUACUUGGCUCUCUUCACCGAAGCUAGACCGUUUUCUUUGCCAACUCCUGCUGACCCUUACAUUGGUGAAAACCCUCAUCGAAGCCUUAGUUACUACCUGACAUAUUUCGCGGGCUCUGUAUGGUCCGGUUUCUUGACUUGGCACUCGACAGGAACUGAGUGCAUGUGUUUCGUAUUUUCAACAUACCUCAACAUCGAGUUGAAAAUAAUAAAUAAGAACAUUGAAACUCUUGGGGAAUGUUUUCAAAACAAGAAUUUCGAUCAUAAAGCGAAAUUGAGGCAAAUCAUAAGAGAACACCAAGAUAUUUUAAAGUGAGUAUUCAAAAAUGCGUUUUGGCAGUAAUAGGAACAAAAUUCAAUCCUCUUACACUUUCUGUAAGUUUAUAACAUUAUUUUAUAAAAUGUGCUAAUUUUGAGAUUUUUCUCUUAAAUUAGUGGAAAAAACUACAGAGGAGCAUCUUUAAUUUGAAAAAAAAAAAAUGCGGAUGUAAAAUACAUAGCUAUUAAUCUGCCUAUAGUGCAAUCUUUUUCCCUUUUAGUUUAAAAUAUUGUAACAGCAUAAUUUUUUUUUUUUUUUUUUUUUUUGAGAACUGACAAUUUUCAGAUUAAGAGGUAAAGUCAAUAAUUUGCUUGGAGCUCCGCUUGUAUUUCAAAAUGUGAUAAGCACCCUGACAAUAACUCUCCUCGUGUUUACUGCCACUGUACAAAUCAAAGUGAGGAACUACCCUGUAGCUUUUGGAGCAAUGUUUCCAUUCAACUGCUUCGUUUGGAUCAUAUUUGUCAUAUGCUUCCUAGGAGAAUCACUGCAAGAAAAUAGUUUGAAUUUAUCCGAAAGCCUAUACAAACUUCCCUGGUAUGAGAUGGAUGUCGAAACUAGGAAAAUUUUGUUGAUGAUGAUCAGACAGACAUCUAAACCGAUGGUGUAUGACUACAAAAACAGCAGUGCCAUAACAUUGGUCACAUUCCAAAAGAUGGUAAAUGAAAGCUACUCAUACUUAAUGGUUCUUCAAAGCCUGCAAUGAAUAUAAAGUUUAAAAUUUACCUUCUCACAAUAAAUUAGUUGCAAAUUUAAUAUUUUAACUCACUCUAUAAAUUCACUCGUGUUUAACAAUUAAUUAUGCAAUA